AUUCUUUUGAGCUUUCACAUGUUCUUUUUCAUGUAUGCCUAUGAGUAUGAUGAUCUGUACACAGGCACAUAUUGGGUGGACAUGUCACUGACUUUGCAUUACUCAGUUUCCAGGUCUAUAGAAUGGAAAUCCUAGCACAGAUCACCUACCUCGGAGUUCUCAAGAUGGGCAUCAAGAAGAAUGAACUACUGGCUGCUCUUGUGGCUGACAGCACAGACUCUCCCAGUGGACCCCCAUUUUCGAUGAGGCUGAGAAACCCUGAUG
rnacentral:lncRNA from 1 species